rnacentral:rRNA from 1 species
AUGAAAGUGCUCGGAUUAGCAGCCAUUGAGAGGGCAAGAAGAAGGCAAGCCUCUAGGAUUACCUGGCUAAAGGCAGGAGAUGCAAGCACGAAGUUUUUCCACGCAAGAGUGACAGCUAGAAGGAGGAAAAACUACAUUCACUCCCUCAGGGAGGAUGGCGCGGAGGUGUUUGAUCAUGACAGAAAGGAGAGGAUUCUUCAUGACCACUUCACUAGAUUUCUGGGCAAGCAAGAGGAUAGAAAAGCCACCAUAAACUGGGAACGACUAGCCAUUCCGACCGUUGAUCCACAAGGUUUAGACUCGCUGUUCUCCAUGGCUGAGGUUUGGGCAGCCAUUGUUUCCUCCCUAACAGAAAAAGCUCCUGGUCCUGACGGGUUCACGGGACAAUUCUUUCGCUCCUGCUGGCACAUCAUUCAGGAUGACAUCAUGGCAGUGUUUAACAAGUUUCAUCAGGUGGCUGGGCAAAAUUUCAGGAUAUCAACACGGCCCUGA